AGAAUCAACGCUGGCGGCGUGCCUAACACAUGCAAGUCGAACGAGAAAGUGGAGCAAUCCAUGAGUAAAGUGGCGCACGGGUGAGUAACACGUGACUAACCUACCUUUUAGUGGGGGAUAACCUAGGGAAACCUGGGCUAAUACCGCAUAAUACCUACGGGUCAAAGCAGCAAUGCGCUGAAAGAGGGGGUCGCGGUCGAUUAGUUAGUUGGCAGGGUAAUGGCCUACCAAGACUGUGAUCGAUAUCCGGCCUGAGAGGGCGCACGGACACACUGGAACUGAAACACGGUCCAGACUCCUACGGGAGGCAGCAGUGGGGAAUUUUGCGCAAUGGGGGAAACCCUGACGCAGCAACGCCGCGUGGAGGAUGAAGUCCCUUGGGACGUAAACUCUUUCGAUCGGGACGAUAAUGACGGUACCGGAAGAAGAAGCCCGGCUAACUCGCGCCAGCAGCCGC
rnacentral:rRNA from 1 species